rnacentral:rRNA from 1 species
CUACGGGAGGCAGCAGUGAGGAAUAUUGCACAAUGGAGGAAACUCUGAUGCAGCAACGCCGCGUGGAGGAUGACGCAUUUCGGUGUGUAAACUCCUUUUAAGAGGGAAGAUNAUGACGGUA